ACUCCAAAGCUACUAAAUAAAAUAGCAUUUUUCCCCUCACGAGAAAAUAAAAAAUUGGAACAUUAUCCCCCUCUUUGGUGUUCUCCAAAUUUCCCCUCCAAUUUUUCUCAUUCUUCUUCGCCACCGUGUUCGGAGCCUUCCUCAGAAUCGCUGCUGUAUUCGUUAUGUGCUUCGUAUUCUUCAUCGCCAGUAUGCGAUUCCCUACUGCUGAUAUGCUCUAAUGUAGAAUCGUUACUAUUUACAACAUCGGAAGGUUCAUCUUGCAGUUUGAACGAUGAAUCUCCUCCUUCUGAAUCUCUGAUACUUUCAAGGCUGUCGAUUCUUCUAUUUUCGGAUGCGUUGCUGCUUCUAGGUGAAGAGCUUCCAUCGCUUGAUGAGGAGCUAUUUUUUCUAGUGUGAUUUGGAGCUGGUGGCUAUGCGCAGUCUUUGUCCUUCCCGAUCUUUCGAGAUUCGGUAUCGGAAUCUGAAGAUUCUGAAGAGGAAUCAUCGUCUCGAUUUUCCUCCUCAGGUUCUGGUUCUGGUUCUGGUUCCGGCGGAUAAGGGAGUGGACGGAGAUUCUCGUCCGGAACUGUGGAAAGGAAACUGAGAGCUGUCAUGACGUCGCCGAUCAGAGGACGGACUUCUGCUUCCUCUUGUAGACACAUGGCGGCGACGGCCACGGCCUGAUUCAGAUCUUUCUCCGGGAACAACCGCCCAAGGAGUGGAUCGGCCAGGUCUGGAAAUCUCUUUGGAUCUCGGAAAAAUGGUUGUGCCUGUUACAUAGCCAUGGCUUCAAAGUGGUCAGUUCUAGGGCAAAACAUAAGGAUAAUACCUCUAUAUUGAGCAGAGUAGCCGUAGGUCCCCAUGACCCUUGACGGCAAUGGCGACUUAUCACCACCGGGGCCAAGCUUCGCUAGCCCGAAAUCAGAAAGCUUUGGAUUGAAAUCUUCAUCUAGCAAGAUGUUUGAUGACUUCAAGUCUCUAAAUAUUAUGGGAGGAUCCGCCUGGUCAUGCAGCUUAUUUGAAAUAAUGUGGCAAACAAAUAACAAGAGCUUGAGCAGACUAGAUAUUUUGAUGGAAAAAGGUUUGACGUAUUACUUCAAAAAGAAAAUAUGUUGCAUGAAAUACUUUAUUUUACUCUACAGCUCAAUAUUUUCUUUUACACGGCCUGCUAAAUCAAUCCAUCUACAUUUAUCUUGUUACUAGACAUUAGAAUUUAGUUCCUAUGGUUUAUGUUUAGAAUCUAGCCCUCGUUGGAUCAUCAAACCUUCAUAAAUAGUCCCUACUGAAUGGCUUAGUUUGGAGGGUUUUAUCAAAUCAGGACUAUUCAUGAGGUUUUAUCAAAUCAGGGGACCGAAUUCUAAUUUUUGAAACCACGAGGACUGAAGUCUAACUUUCUCUAAAGAGUAGGAAGAAAAUUUGUAAUUUAACUAAAACCAUUUAAUCAUAUGGUAAAUAAUGUUAAACUAUAUGCAAAUUUUCAAUUCACUAUAAUAAGUUUAGAGAAUUGAAUUUAUAGUGGGAUAUUUGUACAUACCAAAGAGACAAUCUUCCAAAGAACCUCCUGGCAUAUAUUCAUACACCAAAAUUCUUUGAUCUCCAUCUGCACAAUAUCCAUUAAACUUCACAAGAUUUGGAUGCUUCAGAAGGCUCAAUGCCUUAACCUCACCAAGAAACUCCUUGUUUCCUUGUAGCCCAUUUCUAUCGAGCUGCUUCACAGCUACCACCUAAACAAACACACAACGGAAACAAUUUCUGAAGAUUUUCCCCCUUAGAAUAUUAUAAAUAUAGGAAAUGAACUUUAAAUAUGUUCAGCAACAUUAAUAUUAAUAUUAGAAUAUUUAGAAUCUGUUUGGUAUAAUUGAUAAAAUACUUUUUUUUAUUCGCUCAAGUUAUUCUUGAUUAACACCUCAUUAAUCUAGUUUAGUGGUUACAAGAGGGAUGACACCUAACAUAGGUUAUAAUAUUUUAGGAGUUUCUUUGACACUUAGAUAAGAAAAUAUUGAAUAUAUUGUUAAGUGAGGUUAAUUGAAAUGCAUAUAAGCUGGUUCAAACGGGGUGAAUAUCGAAGAAAAAGAUCAGAAAAAGAUGAGAAGGUAGAAUUUGGUUAUUUACCUGGCCACUUGGUUGAAGGGUAGCCUUAAAGACCUUCCCAAACCCACCUUCACCCAAAAGACAUUCCUGUCGGAAAUUCUUCGUAGCAGUGGCUAGCUCUCUGAAAGUGAAGGUCUGGGCAUCUAUUUUUUCACCUUCUUGUUGUUUGUCCUUGAUUUCCUCAGCAGGCUUUGAUUUGGUGGUAACCUCUGUUAAAAGAAAAUAAAAAAAAGAUUGUUUAAUUCAAGCCUGGAUCUUCGAAACUGAAUAAAUACUCACUUCCUUCGUAACAAAAUUUAUUAUUUAAUUUCAUGGUACCAUUAUUCAUAUUCGAUAUCGUUUGAAAGUUUCCAAAAUUUUAUAAUUCGGGGUUUCCCCAUGAAAUGACACUUUAUCCAUUUUCUUAGCUUUUUUUCUUAUUUGGAUUAAUAUAUAAUUCUAUACCUUUGGGUUAUAUUUUAAAUUUUAUACUUUGAAAGUUUCAAUUGAUCUAAUUUCUAUUAAUUUAUGAAAAUUAUGUUUCAUUUGAGUAUAUUAAAAUUUAUCUUUUCAAUGUGUUAUUAUUUCAAUUCCUCGUGCAACGUAAUUUUCUGAAAAAAUAAUUUUAUUUUGUUAACUGAGUUGGAAAUAUUAUAUACUGUAAUUUGAUCAAUCUUGCAAGGCAAACAAUAAUUGAAAAUAUAGAAAAUUAAAAUAUAGGCAGUUAAAUCAUAGCUAAUAAUCCAUAUAUAAGCUGAAUAUUUAUUUACAUUAACCAGAUAGUAUCACAUAAAAUACAAAAUGCACUUAUGGUUAUAUGGAUAAUCAUUAAUUUACAAGGUUUAAAAAAAUUGCUAAUAGAUCGCCUUUAAUAGUAUCUAGUAGAUCUUUGCUUAAAUAAUUUUCUAGAUUUGAAAUUUUAGCUUAUGAAUUGCUAUUUGCUUUCUAAUUAUUUUUUUUCAAUAUCCUACUCACGUUCUAAAAGCAACAUUAUAGUUGUUUGUUUCUAAAAAUGACAAUUUUUGUAUCAAUUUUUUUUCACUUAUAUGGUUUCAACGUGAACACGAAAGUUGAGUAUUUCCAUUAUAUUGUAAACAAAAUAGAAUGUGUAUUUACUGAUUUAGAUUUUUGGUUUUUAUAAUUUUUUUAUAAUAUAAUAAAUAUGCAUCAACAUCACAAACAUUACCUUAGGUAGAAACAUAAUGUAUCAUAAAAAAAAAUUGAGAUGAAGAAAACAUAAAUUGAGAGAGCAUCAAAAGAUUUGGAAAGGGUGGAGAGUGAGAAGAACAAACCAGGGGACUUGGGGGGCGGAGGAGGAGUACGGUGGCCGGAGGAAGAAGAGCCUGAACUGUCGUUAUUGUUAUUCUUAUCGAUCCCUUUCUUGCUCUUCUGAGACGAGAAACACGGAAAGCAACUCAUCAUUCUCUAUUUUUACACACACCCACUCUCUUUUCUUUUUCCUUCAAUCCGAUCCCACAAUCUGGAAAAAGAACAAUUUAAAAAAUACAACAACCAUAAAAAAAGAAGAAUAAAUUAAAAUCAAGAAGCAGAUAAUUCAUGGAAGAAGAAGAAGAAUUUCAUAGAAAGAAAAAAAAAUGGGGGAAAAGAAGGGUAAUAAUUAGAGGACGCUGGGUCCUCCAAGGUUAUUGAAGGACCCGGCGAGAGAAGAUGGGGAAUGAAUUUGAGGAAUGAAACAGGACAAACUAUGUGCGAUUAAUGAAGAGGAGGCCAUGGGAUUUUGGAACUUACAAUACUAUCAUUCUUUUUGGGGGAAAGAGAAAUUGUAAUUUUCUUAAUUUUUUUUAGGAGUUUUUUAGGAUGGAGAAAUUUAGGGAGAUUUCAAUGGAAUUUUUUACCCAUUUUUCUUCUUUCCAAUGGUACCACAGAAAAACGCGGCAUUUUCAUUUCUGUUUUUUUUUUUUGUUUUUUUUCCCUUCUGUUUUUUCCCUUUUUCUUUAACAGUUUUAAAGGAAUGAAGGUUGAAUCGAACACACACCGCACUUCCCGAAUCACUCUCUCUAAUACAAACCCUUACCAUAGAUUGCUUUUACAUUUCUAUCUCAUUUUCAUAAAUAUAACAAAAACACUCAAAUAAUAAAAUAAUUUAUCAACAAAAUAACAAAAUCAAAAAGCCUAUAAAACUAGUAAAAAGCCUAUAGAACUAGUAACAUAUUAAAUUAUUUUCAUAGAUGACAAAUUUGCUCUUGAUUUUGUGAUGAUUUUUCACUUCUUUUUUUUUCUUCUUUGCGAUUUAUUAAUAUCCUCUUUGUAUUAUUAAUUUUUUCAUAUUAUUACUUCUUCUUUCUUCGUAUUCUCACUUGCCUUUGUUUAUGCUUUUGUCAUUUUAACCUAAUUGAAAACAAAAACACCUUUCUUACUCUUACUGUGUUGUAAAUCAAACUAAUCCUAAAAUUUACAUAAAAAUAGCAUGAUUAACUAGGAUUCAAAUGGGAAUUUAACUGAACAAGAUUAACUGUAAUAUCUACAUUAAAAAUAUUGUCAAAUUGUCAAAUACCUAACAAGCUUCAACCCACGCUGGAGGAAAAUUGAAACUGACUUCAGAGGCUACCAAGGAAAGGAAACUAACGGAGAAUGAGAGGAGACCCACGGAGGAGAAUGAAAAAGAAUGAAGAGGAGAACCAUGAAUGAUGUAGAAUGAAUGAAGGAGACCAACAGAGAAUGAAGAUGAAUGAAGGAGACCCGCGAAGAAUGAAGAGAAAGACUGACGACUUCUUUUCUUUAAUUUUAACCUAAUUGUGUGAACCACAUCCAAACCGCAAGCAAACCAAAACCAAUUCAGUUUGGUUUUGUUUGGUACUAUUGUUCUUUCAAACUGAUCCAACUCGAACUAAGCUGAGUCAGUUUGGUUCGAUUCGUCCAUUUGGUUCAAUUUUUUGCACCCCUGAUAAAUAGGGCCAAAAGCCAAAGGUAAAAGGAGCUGGAGAUGUUAGAUUUUCUGAUAAAAACAAGGAGAAGUUUUGAGUGUUGAAUGGUCGGUUUAGAGAACCACUAGACGAGAAGAGAAAGCCGAAAGCAAAGAAGGAAGGAGUUGAAGCUAAGUAUUUUCGUGAGUGAUCCAUAUAAAUGAAUAAAUGUUUGUGAGUGAUCCUUUAAAUGAAUAAAUGUUUGUGAGUGAUUCUUCAUAAAGUAAAAUGAGUAUUUUUGUACGAACGAAUUGUUGUUUAUAACGAAAACAUUUGUAUUUAUGAUCUAUGUAUUUAAAAUAAAUGUUUUAUAAAUGUUGUGUUACCAAUAUUUUUUUCGUAACCUCGUAUUUAUGCUUAUUGCACGACUUUGUUAUUUAUGUGAUAAUAUGCGUUAGGAGUAAGUUGUGAGCUAAUACUUUCAUAUUAUUAAUUGUAUGGAUUGUAUCUUGUGGUGUGGUAUGAUCUAUCACAAGACGUUAAUGGAAAUCCCAGGUAACUCACGUGACGCUAGUUUCAUGUGAAUCCCAGGUCAUAGUGAGUUGUGAUGAAAUCUUGACAUUGGAUGCUAGUGAAUGUGAAUCCCAGAUCUAAAUGAGGAAUAAUGUAUGAGACUCUGGUUGAAUUUAAAUCUCAGGUCUUAGGAAAAGAUUGAAUGUGGAGACACUAGUGGAAAUCCCAGGUAACUUGGAUGACGCUAGUUGAAUGUGAAUCUCAAGUCCAGGCAAGGGAAGAAUUCUAGGUCCCAAUGAUGAGUUUGAAAUGUGAGAUGACUUAAGUGCGUGGAACUUAUUAUGCUUGUUGUGAUGGUGGUUGGAUGCGAUGAGAAUCAUAUGUUUUAAGUUUUCUCUCCCCAAGUUGUUAGGCGUUGAAGCCAAGCAAAUAGGGGAAGACAGGGUGGUUUUGUAAGCUUAUAUGGUGUGAGAGUCGUGUCACUAUACCUCAUGUUCAAGAAGUAGGUUGUUAAGCGCAUCACUACUUGAUACAGAUGACCCAAUUCAGAAGAAAAACAAGUGCAACACCAAGACCAAUCCCAGGGAGCAAGAGAGCCAAAGAACUAAGUCAGGGAAAGGAAGCCCAACGUUGUCCUCAAGUUGGGUUGUUGUGUGACUGAGGUGAAGGAAGAAAUUAGCUCCUUACACCUCUAGGUACUCCAUCUCAAGAAGCAAUGUUUGGCGGUGAAGAAAAAAAAGUCUUAUGCUCCAAAACACCUUCGCGCGAAGAGCAACACCUUGGUGGAAGAAAGAAGGCGUGUAGAUUAGAGUUGCUUUUAUUUCUAUGUAAGAAAGGGAAAAAAUGAAUUUUUAAUUUGAGAACUCUGUGUAAAAUGUUAAGUUAAUAAAAAGAAGAAGUUAUUUUA